rnacentral:rRNA from 1 species
AUUGAACGCUGGCGGCAUGCCUAACACAUGCAAGUCGAACGGCAGCGCGGACUUCGGUCUGGCGGCGAGUGGCGGACGGGUGAGGAAUACAUGGGAAUCUACCCAGUCGUGGGGGAUAACGUAGGGAAACUUACGCUAAUACCGCAUACGACCGAGAGGUGAAAGCGGGGGAUCAUCGGACCUCGCGCGAUUGGAUGAGCCCAUGUCGGAUUAGCUAGUUGGCGGGGUAACGGCCCACCAAGGCGACGAUCCGUAGCUGGUCUGAGAGGAUUGUAAGCGACACUGGAACUGGGACACGGGCCAGCGUCCUACGGGAGGGAGCAGUGGGGAAUAUUUGAAAAUGGGAGCAAGCCUGAGACAGCAAUGCCGCGUGGGUGAAGAAGGCCUUCGGGUUGUAAAGCCCUUUUGUACGGGAAGAAAGCUUUCGGGUUAAUACCCUGGGAGGAUGACGGUACCGUAAGAAUAAGCACCGGCUAACUUCGUGCCAGCCGCCGCAGUAACAC